CUCUAUCACAUGUCCCUAUUCGUAUUUUCUGAGAUGGAAUAACCAGGAUUGAAGAAAGGUGGUAUGCUACCUUUAAAGGCAUAGUAGCUACAUUAAAAGUGAGCCUGUAACCGUUUGGGCUCUACCUUUAUGUGAGUGGAUCUAAUUUGCGUUAUAUCUGCACAAUAUCUUAUUACCACCUGCAUUGUAUAUUCGUUUUCUCUAUCUUUUUUUUUUUUUUUACGUGUUUCAUAUGGUACUACUUUGAACCCCCUGCAAGAUAUAUUGCAAGAAGGUAAGAUAUCUCCGAUUAUACACUAAUAAAUUAUAAGCAUUUCACUUAUAAUACGUUGUACUGUACUAUAUUUUGGGCUGAGGGAAGUAAGGUACCCUUCACGAGUGUUUUGAGGUGCCGCCAUUUUUAUUGUAACACACUAAGGCUUUACACCUGCACUAGCCUUGAGUUUGGAAUUAAACAUAUAUCUUAUUAACCAAGCUGAAUAUUGAAAAGGGGCUUGCAAAUAUUAGACCAGAGUAGCCAAGCUGGAAAAACAGCCCAGUUAUUGGUUUUCAGCCCUGUUUUGGGCUAGCUUUUGAAAUUCCCUUUUUUAAUUCCCCACAAGUCCCAAUUUCAUCAAUCACCCAGUGUUUUUUUGCUUAAAGUUGCCUGCACCUGCUAUGUAAAUAUAAUGUGGCUACCUUUUAUUGACCAUAAAAUUCCAUUUAUUCGCUGUACUUGCCAAAUUGCUAGCAAGUGGAUAGGUGAUAAUGUACAUGCUAUUGAAGAUUUAAUGUUAUGUACCUCCUUGCCAGACAAUAGCAUGCUCACACAGCAACAUACAGCCUCAGUGUUGGCAGCUCAAUCCCAGAAUGCUUUGUGUAUAAGUCAAUUAACUUUUUAAAGGCACACUCCAAGCACCAUAACCACUACAGAACACUGCAGUGGUUAUGUUGCCAGGAGUUACCCGGUGCUCACUAAGCUGUAGCAAAGGCAAGGAAGGGCGCCUAGUGGCCCCCAGGAACACUCAAAGUACCAUAAUUACUACAGCCUGCUCGGGGUGAGUGGUCAAAGUGCUUUUUGUGCUUGGAAUGUCCUUUUAAGGAAGAAAUUCUAAUCUGACAGACACCUUGAUGUGAUCCCCCUGUAGACUGUAUACAGUGCUAUUACAACCAAGGAGGUCACUAGACAGUACAGAUCCUAUAGCCUUGAAUGCUCUGAAGCUAUUCUACACUUAGCUUCUCCAACAUUUGUUUUUUGCAAGUUCCUUUCUUGUCCAUCAGCCUCUAAUAUUGCUCUGUUGGUAUUAUGUGUAUCGUUAAUAUUUUCAUAGGCACCUGAAACCAUUGGGGAAAGCAAAUUAAAAAAACAACAACCUAAUUUGUCAUGGUCUUUCUCAAUCUAUCCAUCUAUUGCUCUUUUUUCUUCCGCCCCCUCCUUUCUUCCCUCUGCCUUCUGCCUCUUCUUUAUUAUCCUUUAAGCAAUGUUCAAAGCUUUUAUACGCAGAAAUCCCUUGUGAAGUCCGUAGGAUUUUUUUCCCCGCUCCUCGUCACCCCCCCUCUCUUUCCACCCCCUAAUCUCUCAAGGUGACGGCUCUCUCUUUUAAUUCGCUGUUUUCUUCGUUAUUCAAAUCAGAAAGUGGAAAAUUGCCUCUGAAUUGAUCUGAUGAUUAGAACGGAACAGUAGAUGCACCGUGACCCUCGUUAUCUGCCUGCUAAUCACCCUGCCAGUGACAAGCAGUUAAUGUCACUAGUGUCCCCGAGGUGGGAGACGACAGAG